rnacentral:rRNA from 1 species
GUGUCAGCAGCCGCGGUAAUACAGAGACUGCAAGCGUUAUUCGGAUUCACUGGGCGUAAAGGGUGCGCAGGCGGCCAAGUGUGUUAGGUGUGAAAGCCCGGGGCUUAACCCCGGAAUUGCACCUAAAACUACAUGGCUAGAGCAUUGGAGAGGGGAGCAGAAUUCACGGUGUAGCAGUGAAAUGCGUAGAUAUCGUGAGGAAUACCAGAGGCGAAGGCGGCUCCCUGGACAAUUGCUGACGCUCAGGCACGAAAGCGUGGGGAGCAAAAGGGAUUAGAUACCCGAGUAGUCC